rnacentral:misc_RNA from 1 species
GAUGAAGAACGUAGCGAAAUGCGAUACGUAAUGUGAAUUGCAAAUUCAGUGAAUCAUCGAGUCUUUGAACGCACAUUGCGCCCCCUGGUAUUCCGGGGGGCAUGCCCGUCCGAGCGUCAUUGCUGCCCUCAAGCACGGCUUGUGUGUUGGGCCCCGUCCUCCGAUCCCGGGGGACGGGCCCGAAAGGCAGCGGCGGCACCGCGUCCGGUCCUCGAGCGUAUGGGGCUUUGUCACCCGCUCUGUAGGCCCGGCCGGCGCUUGCCGAUCAACCCAAAUUUUUAUCCAGGUUGACCUCGGAUCAGGUAGGGAUACCCGCUGAACUUAAGCAUAUCAAUAAGCGGAGGA